CUCUCCCUGAGACAUUUCCCCUCCCCCUUCUCUGGAGUUGUUUGGGGGAUGGGGAAGAGCCAAGUCUUAAACCCAGCCCCUUUAGGGCCACAAUUUCCCAACUUUACCAUUCUAAACAGUCUGAGGGAUUCCUUUCUGCUUCUUUCCCCUAGAAACUCACCUAGGUCUUGUGGGGAGACCCAGGGAAGUGGUCAGAAGAAGGAAAUUGAUCUGAAUGGGGAGAGGAAAGAAAGAAUGAAUCAGUCAAUGAAGAAUCAAAGUAUCAGGUGAUCCAAGAAGAAAUGGAAAUAAAUAUGGUGGAUGGCCAUAGGGUACAACAGAGAAGCAAGAAAUGUCAGAGAAGAGUUAAGAGUACACAAUCAGAAAAGCUGGUGAGACAAUGGUUUAUUUAGGAGUGGGGAAAACAGAUAGACAUUAUGGGUGCAGCAUUAAUUUUCAUGUAAGAUUUAAAAGGCCUAGAGAACCAGCAAGAUCAUCUAAAAAAUUUCAUAGAGGAUACGGAUGAUGGCAGCAACCCAUGCCGGUAUAUAUAAGAAGGCAGAUGCACUUUAGAACUGAAAUAUUUAUGUGUAUGUGACCUCAGAGAUCAUCUAGAUUCAACUCCUAUUUCCUAAGUGAAAAAUCCAGAGACAAGAAAGUUUAAAUGAUUUGCCCUAUGGUCAUAUGAGGAGUAAUAGCAAAGCUGGGAAGGGAACAUAGAUGUCCCAACUCCAAGAAUAAGGGUUCUUUUCAAUACACCAUACUAUCUAUCCAUUGUAUCAACAGUUUUGCUAGAAAUAGCUCAUCCUUAUGUCUACAAUGAAAUGAACUUUUCUGGUCCUGUUCCUUAUAUGUAUCUUCUACUAGUCCUGGUAAGAAGGAUAGCACUCUCAAAGAGAAUCCCUAACGGCAUCCAGUGCUUGAGAGCUUGAAAUAGAAAUCAACUGAAGAUAACUCUGGAUAACUAUACCCACAUGCUCUUCAUCUCAGAGUCAUUAGGUCAGCCUAUUGCCUAAAUCCCUUGGUGCAUGCGGGCAGAAACCCAGGCUAGAUUUCAGAAGACUCUUCCCCACUGAUGCGGGAAGUAUAACGAACAAAGACCUGUCAGGAGGAGGAAUUUUAGGCCAGGAAGCAAGAAUUGGAACACAAAGAGUUAGUAAAUAUGAUGAAAUCCCAAUUUAUACACACCCCUACUUUUCUGAUCCCUUCUGUUACUUCCUAUAAUCCAUCUUGAGGAAUCUAAUCUUAUUCCUUUAUUCCUCAUCCAAAUCUUCUAACAGCACCUUUCCAAUGCUAAAAACCCAAUUACCAUCACCCAACAAGCACAGACACACACACACACACACACACAAAAAAAAAAAAAAAAAAAAAAAAAAAAAAAGAUGUUCUUAGAGAUGGGCUAAAUGAUGGAUUUGAUUUAUGGGUUUUCCUGAACCCAAAGGAUUUUCCAUUAUGGCCUGGAAAGAUUCCAGAAGAGUGCCUUGAGUCUUAAAGGCAUUUUCUGGCUUAAAAGUCCCUUAUUAAAAUACAUCUAUCAUCGGAUGGGAAACCACUAAUGACGAAACUUCCUUAAUCAAUACAUACUGUUAAGUCUACAACUGAAUAUUAAAGAACUGCCUGGGUUACUUAAAGAUUAAGUUAUUUAUUUGAUCAAGGUCACAGCCAGUAUAUGUGGGAGGCAAGACUAGGAUUUAGAUCUUCCUGACUCUUGAGGCUGGUUCUCGAUAUCCUAUGUGUACAUGUACAUAUAUGUAUUAUAGGAAGUACUAAACUGAUAACAAAUUUUACUAGAUAUUUAAAAAAAAAAAAAAACCUUAUUAGGAAUUAGUUGAGAUCUAAGACAAGCUGAGGGAUGGGGAGGCUUGAGGCAAGAAAAGGAAAAGCAAGUUUUAUCUACUUUAAAAUUCUGUCCUGAAUUUAGAAUCUAAAACAAUUCCCUAUUGCCUAUUUGAUCAAGUACAAAUUCUUUGACUUGACCUUCACAGACCUCCAGAAUACUGGCCCACUUUACAUAUUUAAAACUUUAAUACACUGCUUCUAAAUGUUCUUUCUUGGUUUGCUCUU